UGGCAAAGUUACUACUAAUAUAGUAAAGGUGCAUUUAUCUGACACAAACACAAUGGUGACACUGACACGCGUGUGAAGUCUGAACACAGAAAAAAAUAAAAAGAAUACUCGGUGUAGUAGUAUUAAUAUGAGACCUGCACAAAUGGGACAACACAUCAGAAGCAUCGAUGGAGAUGAACACGGAUCGACGGCGGCGGCGGCGGCUCGAAGUUCAAAGGAGAGGGUUGAGCUCCGGGAAGGAGGAAACAAGAGGACACGUGUCGGGUAACGAAGGGGGACGCGGCUGUUACCUUGGGGAAUUCCUCUUUCACUGAUCUGAUAGCGAAACGUGUCGGUGACGUUAGAAUCUGAAUCGCAAUAUCUGGGGUCUCAAUCACUUCAUCCACGAGUGGUGCUGCUUCCACCACCCUUCGAUCAUAUCCACUCUGCAGACAGAAUCUUCCCCCUCACCGUCUGAUCCAUCUACAGGAGGCCAAAUGCCCAAUGCAAGGAAUCAAUAUAGAAAUUCUCUUCACGAAAAAGUGUGAGAAAUAGUUACACACUACUCCUUAAUCCUUAGUCCUUAACAAGCAAAAACUGUAAGUUCCUAUAAUGAUAGGGCCAUAUUUAUGGAAAACGAUGGAUACAAUUCGACUAAUUCCGAAUCUUUAGCCA